CAAUCAUCCAAUCAGGAGACAGAGUCAGGAUCUGACCCUAAUUCAAACUGAUUGGCGCGGCUCAAUGAAUCAAUUGCCGCUUUCAACCAGAGGUUUAUUUUUCCUCUCCCCUUCGCUAUGAAAAUAAUAAAAAUAAACCUCUGGAACCAGGGUAAAUUUUUAGCUGCACGCGCUACUUCAUGUUAUUCGUUCAAAAGAGGCGACAAAUUAAAUGACGUACCUGAAGCAUGCAAUGAGCAAACAGAACACAGGCUCCGAUUAAGAAGUAAGCCAUCGCCACAGCAUCAGGAAGGCAUGUACUUUGCAGGGUUUUCUGGUCAUCAUCAAAC
rnacentral:lncRNA from 1 species